GACGAACGCUGGCGGCGUGCCUAAUACAUGCAAGUCGAGCGGACGGAUGGGAGCUUGCUCCCAGACCGUCAGCGGCGGACGGGUGAGUAACACGUGGGCAACCUGCCUGUAAGACUGGGAUAACUCCGGGAAACCGGGGCUAAUACCGGAUAACUCUUUCCCUCACAUGAGGGAAGGCUGAAAGAUGGCAUCUCGCUAUCACUUACAGAUGGGCCCGCGGCGCAUUAGCUAGUUGGUGAGGUAACGGCUCACCAAGGCGACGAUGCGUAGCCGACCUGAGAGGGUGAUCGGCCACACUGGGACUGAGACACGGCCCAGACUCCUACGGGAGGCAGCAGUAGGGAAUCUUCCGCAAUGGACGAAAGUCUGACGGAGCAACGCCGCGUGAGUGAUGAAGGUUUUCGGAUCGUAAAACUCUGUUGUCAGGGAAGAACAAGUACCGGAGUAACUGCCGGUACCUUGACGGUACCUGACCAGAAAGCCACGGCUAACUACGUG
rnacentral:rRNA from 1 species